CACGUAGGGGGCGAGCGUUGUCCGGAUUUAUUGGGCGUAAAGAGCUCGUAGGCGGCUCAGUAAGUCGGGUGUGAAACCUCCAGGCUCAACCUGGAGACGCCACCUGAUACUGCUGUGGCUGGAGUCCGGUAGGGGAGCGUGGAAUUCCUGGUGUAGCGGUGAAAUGCGCAGAUAUCAGGAGGAACACCCAGCGGCGAAGGCGGCGCUCUGGGCCGGUACUGACACUGAGACGCGAAAGCGUGGGGAGCGAACAGG
rnacentral:rRNA from 1 species